rnacentral:rRNA from 1 species
CACAUGCAAGUCGACGGUAACAGGAAGCAGCUUGCUUCUUCGCUGACGAGUGGCGGACGGGUGAGUAAUGUCUGGGAAACUGCCUGAUGGAGGGGGAUAACUACUGGAAACGGUAGCUAAUACCGCAUAACGUCGCAAGACCAAAGAGGGGGACCUUCGGGCCUCUUGCCAUCGGAUGUGCCCAGAUGGGAUUAGCUAGUAGGUGGGGUAACGGCUCACCUAGGCGACGAUCCCUAGCUGGUCUGAGAGGAUGACCAGCCACACUGGAACUGAGACACGGUCCAGACUCCUACGGGAGGCAGCAGUGGGGAAUAUUGCACAAUGGGCGCAAGCCUGAUGCAGCCAUGCCGCGUGUAUGAAGAAGGCCUUCGGGUUGUAAAGUACUUUCAGCGGGGAGGAAGGGAGUAAAGUUAAUACCUUUGCUCAUUGACGUUACCCGCAGAAGAAGCACCGGCUAACUCCGUGCCAGCAGCCGCGGUAAUACGGAGGGUGCAAGCGUUAAUCGGAAUUACUGGGCGUAAAGCGCACGCAGGCGGUUUGUUAAGUCAGAUGUGAAAUCCCCGGGCUCAACCUGGGAACUGCAUCUGAUACUGGCAAGCUUGAGUCUCGUAGAGGGGGGUAGAAUUCCAGGUGUAGCGGUGAAAUGCGUAGAGAUCUGGAGGAAUACCGGUGGCGAAGGCGGCCCCCUGGACGAAGACUGACGCUCAGGUGCGAAAGCGUGGGGAGCAAA